rnacentral:rRNA from 1 species
AACGAACGCUGGCGGCAGGCUUAACACAUGCCAGUCGAGCGCCCCGCAAGGGGAGCGGCAGACGGGUGAGUAACGCGUGGGAAUCUACCCAUCUCUACGGAAUAACGCAUGGAAACGUGUGCUAAUAACGUAUACGUCCUUCGGGAGAAAGAUUUAUCGGAGAUGGAUGAGACCGCGUUGGAUUAGCUAGUUGGUGGGGGAAAGGCCUACCAAGGCGACGAUCCAUAGCUGGUCUGGGAGGAUGAUCAGCCACACUGGGACUGAGACCCGGACCAGACUCCUACGGGGGGCAGCAUUGGGGAAUAUUGGACAAUGGGCGCAGGCCUGAUCCUGCCAUGCCGCAUUGGUGAUGAAGGCCCUAGGGUUGUAAAGCUCUUUCACCGGUGAAGAUAAUGACGGUAACCGGAGAAGAAGCCCCGGCUAACUUCGUGCCAGCCGCCGCCGUAAUAC